rnacentral:rRNA from 1 species
GAGGCUGCCCCUGACCGCGCGGCCAUCCACCCGACCUCUGCGCCGGCCGCGCCAGGCCACGCCUGCCCGGGUCGGGUCUGCCCCUGGCCGCGCGCCCGUCCACCCGGCCUCCGCGCCGCGCCGCGCCCCAGGACACAGACUCCGCCCGGCCGUGUGUCGUGCCGCACCGCGUGCCCGUCCGUCGCCCGCGGCGCACCGGCGUCUUCUAGCGCUCCGGCAGCACGAAUACGUGCAACAGUGCCCUCCCAUCGGCAGCGAACGGUGGUGCGUAGCACGACGGCGUGAGCCAAAACGAAUCAUUAGAUUCGUAACCGCACAUGGAAAUUGGAAAGGCCAUGGAGCCUUAUCCCUUCGCGAUUAUACACUUUAGCCCAUGCGGCUUUACCUAUUUUCAUAAUAGGCUGUGUGUAUAAAUCUUGGAGUAAUUCUUGUACGUCUCAGGAUAACUCAACAUGGUUCAACAACUCAUGCUAUUCAUUAGCACUUGUCAUCUUUAUUAGACCAUGUAUGUAUAGAUAUGCAUUUCAACCCAUUUUCUAUUGAGUUUUACAAUUCCAGAAAUAUGUGUAUAUUUAUAUUUGACAUGUUCAAUGUGUUUACCACAUUAUCUAGAACAUGUUUUGGUGAUUGAGAUUAAAUUUUCUCGCACAACAAUAUCGAUU